UUUUUGCGGGGAAGCGAAAGUUGCUGGAAUUUUGUCUUCUUCUAAAAACAAGUAUCUGAUACAUGUAGUUGCAGUCUGUCUUUGGAAGCUGUUGAAGUAACAAGAAAGAGGCUACAUUGACAUCCUGGUAUACUUUGUUAUAUAUGAAGUUUAUUGAUGGCAUUCAUGAUAUCAUUAUAGAGUACCCUACAUUGAUUUUCUGACAGUCAUGUGUUAUUACAUUUGAACUAGGACUGUUUCAUAAUCAGUUUUGGUAGGGAGAAGUUUGAGUAUGUACAGUUG
rnacentral:lncRNA from 1 species